AGUGAACGCUGGCGGUAGGCCUAACACAUGCAAGUCGAACGGCAGCACAGAGGAGCUUGCUCCUUGGGUGGCGAGUGGCGGACGGGUGAGGAAUACAUCGGAAUCUACUCUGUCGUGGGGGAUAACGUAGGGAAACUUACGCUAAUACCGCAUACGACCUACGGGUGAAAGCAGGGGAUCUUCGGACCUUGCGCGAUUGAAUGAGCCGAUGUCGGAUUAGCUAGUUGGCGGGGUAAAGGCCCACCAAGGCGACGAUCCGUAGCUGGUCUGAGAGGAUGAUCAGCCACACUGGAACUGAGACACGGUCCAGACUCCUACGGGAGGCAGCAGUGGGGAAUAUUGGACAAUGGGCGCAAGCCUGAUCCAGCCAUACCGCGUGGGUGAAGAAGGCCUUCGGGUUGUAAAGCCCUUUUGUUGGGAAGGAAAUCCAGCCGGCUAAUACCUGGUUGGGAUGACGGUACCCAAAGAAUAAGCACCGGCUAACUUCGUGCCAGCAGCCGCAGUAA
rnacentral:rRNA from 1 species